rnacentral:tRNA from 1 species
GAUUAAAUGGCUGAUAAUAGGCGGUAGACUGUAAAUUUACAUAUAAGAAUUUUUUCUUUUUAAUCA